CCUAGGGCUUACGCCCUAGGCUAUUAAAGUACGCACCUACAGCGCU
rnacentral:sRNA from 10 species